rnacentral:rRNA from 1 species
GACGAACGCUGGCGGCGUGCUUAACACAUGCAAGUCGAACGGAAAGGCCCUGCUUGCAGGGUACUCGAGUGGCGAACGGGUGAGUAACACGUGGGUGAUCUGCCCUGCACUUCGGGAUAAGCCUGGGAAACUGGGUCUAAUACCGGAUAGGAGCCAUUUUUAGUGUGAUGGUUGGAAAGUUUUUUUCGGUGUGGGAUGAGCUCGCGGCCUAUCAGCUUGUUGGUGGGGUAAUGGCCUACCAAGGCGGCGACGGGUAGCCGGCCUGAGAGGGUGGACGGCCACAUUGGGACUGAGAUACGGCCCAGACUCCUACGGGAGGCAGCAGUGGGGAAUAUUGCACAAUGGGCGCAAGCCUGAUGCAGCGACGCCGCGUGGGGGAUGACGGCCUUCGGGUUGUAAACUCCUUUCGCUAGGGACGAAGCUUUUUGUGACGGUACCUAGAUAAGAAGCACCGGCUAACUACGUG